GAUGAACGCUGGCGGCGUGCUUAACACAUGCAAGUCGAACGGAAAGGCCCUUCGGGGUGCUCGAGUGGCGAACGGGUGAGUAACACGUGGGUGAUCUGCCCUGCACUUUGGGAUAAGCCUGGGAAACUGGGUCUAAUACCGAAUAGGACCGCGCUCUUCAUGGGGUGUGGUGGAAAGCUUUUGCGGUGUGGGAUGGGCCCGCGGCCUAUCAGGUUGUUGGUGGGGUAAUGGCCUACCAAGGCGACGACGGGUAGCCGGCCUGAGAGGGUGACCGGCCACACUGGGACUGAGAUACGGCCCAGACUCCUACGGGAGGCAGCAGUGGGGAAUAUUGCACAAUGGGCGCAAGCCUGAUGCAGCGACGCCGCGUGAGGGAUGACGGCCUUCGGGUUGUAAACCUCUUUCAGUACCGACGAAGCGCAAGUGACGGUAGGUACAGAAGAAGGACCGGCCAACUACGUGCCAGCCGCCGCGGUAA
rnacentral:rRNA from 1 species